rnacentral:rRNA from 1 species
UACGAAGGGGGCUAGCGUUGCUCGGAAUCACUGGGCGUAAAGCGCACGUAGGCGGAUCUUUAAGUCAGGGGUGAAAUCCUGGAGCUCAACUCCAGAACUGCCUUUGAUACUGGGGAUCUCGAGUCCGGAAGAGGUGAGUGGAACUCCGAGUGUAGAGGUGAAAUUCGUAGAUAUUCGGAAGAACACCAGUGGCGAAGGCGGCUCACUGGUCCGGUACUGACGCUGAGGUGCGAAGGCGUGGGGAGCAAACAGG